rnacentral:rRNA from 1 species
UACGUAGGGUGCGAGCGUUAAUCGGAAUUACUGGGCGUAAAGCGUGCGCAGGCGGUUUGUUAAGACAGAUGUGAAAUCCCCGGGCUUAACCUGGGAACUGCAUUUGUGACUGGCAAGCUAGAGUAUGGCAGAGGGGGGUAGAAUUCCACGUGUAGCAGUGAAAUGCGUGGAGAUGUGGAGGAAUACCGAUGGCGAAGGCAGCCCCCUGGGCCAAUACUGACGCUCAUGCACGAAAGCGUGGGGAGCAAACAGG